GAGGGGUGAUAGUGUCGCUGCGUGUCAGUUCCGUGUUUGUGUGUCCAGUCAAUCUGCAGGAGUCCGUGGCGGCGGGUGCACCACGCAAAAUGAAGAUAAUCUGGGUGUCGUUGUUGCUGGCGGGCCUCUGUUUGGCCAAGGAAGAGGAGGUCGCUGAUGAUCUCCAGCCCAUAGAAGGAAGGAGACUUGAGAUGAGGGCUGGCGACACUCCAUGCAACGGAUGCGUCUCACCCGAGGACAAGCUCACCUCAUCGUCUGUGGUGGUGCCUUCCCUUGAUCUGCAAAACUUGCUCGGCUCUAAGAGUGAUCUACUAUCAAGUGCCAUCAGUCCCCGAUUUGUCUCCCGAGGACCUGCUUCUGAAACUCGGCAACCUCGUAUCCUAUGCUAGCUCAGCAACCGAUGAUAAACCCUUGGGUUUUGAGAACAAUGGUCUUCCUUUGAACAUUGACGAAAACGGCAUCAUUGGUACACUUUCUACUCUUCUUGGUAUCGCAGGGGGCCUUGACGGAACUGCUGGCAAACUGGGCACGUUCGUGUCCGUUGUCAAUGUGCUCAAAACGUCAGUCUUGGAACUGGGCGCGCGGGGUCUCGAGCUUGCUAACUUUAUCCUCGCCGUCAUCGGUCUUGCUCUCCUUGUAGGAUACGUGCUCGCGAGCGGCGGAGACUUGGGUCCGCUGGCAGUGGAUUUUACCUCAUCUUCGCAUCGCUCCCUUUCGGACAACUCCGCAGUGGAGAGUAUCUCCAACAUGGUGUACGAUGCCAUCAAUAAUUUCAGUUAUUAACGUGCUGAUGGCGGGCAGGUGUGCAGGAAUAGCCCACCUGACAGCCUUCAUUUCAAACACUUCUUUCUUACUUUAUUUAUUUUUGGUAGCUAUUCAUCAUUCGGUCAUUCACGGUCCUCAGUGAAGGCUGGUCCUUCUACUGGGUGACAGCACAGUCCAUAUCGACGACCGCCGACCAAAGACACCAGGCCGAUUCACAAGAGAGUCUGCUGGACGCCCGCAACCCUCGGCCGACUCGACCUUCCGUUGACUGCACAGAACUAGUGACCUCUUCUGCAAGACUCACCUUGAGUGAGUCUUAACUCAUGACCUCGACGUACCUGAAGCUCGCUAUAAGUGAUCAUUUCACUUGACAGCCAUGUAUAUAUCUUGUAUAUUAGCACUUUAUACGUCCUUGCCGAGCUCGCAGCGCCCCUGAAGCCGCUCACCACCACGAGGGGGGCGCCGCGCUUCGGCUGACUCAACGUGACGCACCGCGACUUUGUGACGCAUAUGUUCGUAUUUAUCGUUGCUAUAUUUUUAUAUUUAACAUUCUUAACAAUAAAUAUAAAUUAUCAAA